UCGACUCGUUUACACGACCUGACGAACUGCGUUGUGAUCGACAGGAACCUCUCCAUUAGGCGACGAUAGGGCGGCGCACCGGUACCGUUCAGUUCGUCUUGGCGACGCCGACGUGCCACUUGUCACAGAUCGUCCAUGCAAGGAGCGAGGAGAGAAAAUCGAGGCUCGAAAGUUUCUAACUUUCUGCCGAUCGUUUGUUGAUGCAUGAGGUAUGAAACAUGCUCUUCUCUUCGUGCUCUACAUGUUGGUGUAAAUGGAUUUUGAAAUUGAUCGAGUUUUGUUGGAUUGGUGUUUCUGCUGUUGUCGGCUGAUGUCGAGGCUACUGUUCCGGCAGAGUGUUCCAGAGUUCUUUGAUUCAAUUUUGAUGAUAAUUCUGGUCCUAGAACGAGCAGCAAGAGGUGGGUUGCAUUGAAAUUCAAAAUUGGUGUGGUGGAGCACAGUCGGGUAGCAGAACAAAGAGUUCGCAAGUCCGUGAAGUUUGAUAGUGAAAAGUCUGGUUUUGUUCGAAUUGGAACAAGACAUAGACAUGCAAAGGGAGAGAGAUUCAGAAGCUUGCCAGAGUUGCAUAGGAUUUCAACUUGGAGGUUUUAAAGACGAAUUGUAUGAUUGGACGAGGGCUGUCCAAGUUCAUUUUGAGUUCCACGGUGAAGAACGGGAGUGAUGGCGAAAUGUAUAAAGGAUGCAGAGCCUUGGUGCGUGGGCUAAGAACUCCAACAAUUGCAAUGGAAGAGGUAUUCAUGGUAAGUUGGGAGUUUGUAUGUAAUCCUUAACUAAUUUAAGAAAAGUAGUAACGUGAUUGAGGAGGAAAAAUGAUAUUUGUUUGGGAAUAAGUUGUGGACUGUGAGAUUAGCAUUAUUA